GCAGCGACGCMGCGUGCGGGAUGACGGCCUUCGGGUUGUAAACCGCUUUCAGCAGGGAAGAAGCGCAAGUGACGGUACCUGCAGAAGAAGUACCGGCUAACUACGUGCCAGCAGCCGCGGUAAUACGUAGGGUACGAGCGUUGUCCGGAAUUAUUGGGCGUAAAGAGCUCGUAGGUGGUUGGUCACGUCUGCUGUGGAAACGCAACGCUUAACGUUGCGCGUGCAGUGGGUACGGGCUGACUAGAGUGCAGUAGGGGAGUCUGGAAUUCCUGGUGUAGCGGUGAAAUGCGCAGAUAUCAGGAGGAACACCGGUGGCGAAGGCGGGACUCUGGGCUGUAACUGACACUGAGGAGCGAAAGCAUGGGGAGCGAACAGGAUUAGAUACCCUGGUAGUCCAUGCCGUAAACGUUGGGCACUAGGUGUGGGGGGCAUUCCACGUUCUCCGCGCCGUAGCUAACGCAUUAAGUGCCCCGCCUGGGGAGUACG
rnacentral:rRNA from 1 species